rnacentral:rRNA from 1 species
UUCGGCCUGGUGGCGAGUGGCGAACGGGUGAGUAAUAUAUCGGAACGUACCCAAGAGUGGGGGAUAACGUAGCGAAAGUUACGCUAAUACCGCAUACGAUCUACGGAUGAAAGUGGGGGAUCGCAAGACCUCAUGCUCCUGGAGCGGCCGAUAUCUGAUUAGCUAGUAGGUAGGGUAAUGGCCUACCUAGGCGACGAUCAGUAGCUGGUCUGAGAGGACGACCAGCCACACUGGAACUGAGACACGGUCCAGACUCCUACGGGAGGCAGCAGUGGGGAAUUUUGGACAAUGGGCGCAAGCCUGAUCCAGCAAUGCCGCGUGAGUGAAGAAGGCCUUCGGGUUGUAAAGCUCUUUUGUCAGGGAAGAAACGGUCGUGGCUAAUAUCCAUGGCUAAUGACGGUACCUGAAGAAUAAGCACCGGCUAACUACGUGCCAGCAGCCGCGGUAAUACGUAGGGUGCAAGCGUUAAUCGGAAUUACUGGGCGUAAAGCGUGCGCAGGCGGUUUUGUAAGUCUGUCGUGAAAGCCCCGGGCUCAACCUGGGAAUUGCGAUGGAGACUGCAAGGCUUGAAUCUGGCAGAGGGGGGUAGAAUUCCACGUGUAGCAGUGAAAUGCGUAGAGAUGUGGAGGAACACCGAUGGCGAAGGCAGCCCCCUGGGUCAAGAUUGACGCUCAUGCACGAAAGCGUGGGGAGCAAACAGGAUUAGAUACCCUGGUAGUCCACGCCCUAAACGAUGUCUACUAGUUGUCGGGUUUUAAUUAACUUGGUAACGCAGCUAACGCGUGAAGUAGACCGCCUGGGGAGUACGGUCGCAAGAUUAAAACUCAAAGGAAUUGACGGGGACCCGCACAAGCGGUGGAUGAUGUGGAUUAAUUCGAUGCAACGCGAAAAACCUUACCUACCCUUGACAUGUCAGGAACCUCCGAGAGAUUGGAGGGUGCCCGAAAGGGAACCUGAACACAGGUGAUGCAUGGCUGUAGUCAGCUUGUGUCGUGAGAUGUUGGGUUAAGUCCCGCAACGAGCGCAACCCUUGUCAUUAGUUGAUACGCAAGAGCACUCUAAUGAGACUGCCGGUGACAAACCGGAGGAAGGUGGGGAUGACGUCAAGUCCUCAUGGCCCUUAUGGGUAGGGCUUCACACGUCAUACAAUGGUACAUACAGAGGGCCGCCAACCCGCGAGGGGGAGCUAAUCCCAGAAAGUGUAUCGUAGUCCGGAUCGCAGUCUGCAACUCGACUACGUGAAGUUGGAAUCGCUAGUAAUCGCGGAUCAGCAUGCCGCGGUGAAUACGUUCCCGGGUCUUGUACACACCGCCCGUCACACCAUGGGAGCGGGUUUUACCAGAAGUAGGUAG